rnacentral:rRNA from 1 species
UUUUAUGGAGAGUUUGAUCCUGGCUCAGGAUGAACGCUGGCGGCGUGCCUAAUACAUGCAAGUCGAGCGAACGGACGAGAAGCUUGCUUCUCUGAUGUUAGCGGCGGACGGGUGAGUAACACGUGGAUAACCUACCUAUAAGACUGGGAUAACUUCGGGAAACCGGAGCUAAUACCGGAUAAUAUUUUGAACCGCAUGGUUCAAAAGUGAAAGACGGUCUUGCUGUCACUUAUAGAUGGAUCCGCGCUGCAUUAGCUAGUUGGUAAGGUAACGGCUUACCAAGGCAACGCGGCAUAGCCGCCCUGACAGGGCGAACAGACACACCGGAACUGAGAAAGGGUCCAGACUCAUACG